AUUGAACGCUGGCGGCAUGCCUAACACAUGCAAGUCGAACGAGUGGCGGACGGGUGAGUAAUGUCUCGGAACCUGCCUAAUAGAGGGGGAUAACUACUGGAAACGACAGCUAAUACCGCAUACCAUCGGAUGUGCCCAGGUGGGAUUAGCUGGUUGGGGGGGUAAAGGCCCACCUAGGCGACGAUCAGUAGCGGGUCUGAGAGGAUGACCAGCCACACUGGAACUGAGACACGGCCCAGACUCCUACGGGAGGCAGCAGUGGGGAAUUUUGGACAAUGGGCGCAAGCCUGAUGCAGCCAUGCCGCGUGUAUGAAGAAGGCCUUCGGGUUGUAAAGUACUUUCGUCGGGGAGGCGGUACCUGAAGAAGAAGCACCGGCUAACUACGUGCCAGCAGCCGCGGUAAUAC
rnacentral:rRNA from 1 species